rnacentral:rRNA from 1 species
UACGUAGGGACCAAGCGUUGUUCGGAUUUACUGGGCGUAAAGGGCGCGUAGGCGGCAAUUCAAGUCAUCUGUGAAAUCUCCGGGCUUAACCCGGAACGGUCAGAUGAUACUGCUUUGCUAGAGUGCGGAAGGGGCAAUCGGAAUUCUUGGUGUAGCGGUGAAAUGCGUAGAUAUCAAGAGGAGCCACUGAGGUGAAGACGGGUUGCUGGGCCGACACUGACGCUGAUAGCGCGAAAGCCAGGGGAGCAAACGGG